GAUGAAGAACGUAGUGAAAUGCGAUAAGUAAUGUGAAUUGCAGAAUUCAGUGAAUCAUCGAAUCUUUGAACGCACAUUGCGCCCUCUGGUAUUCCGGGGGGCAUGCCUGUUCGAGCGUCAUUAUAACCACUCAAGCUCUCGCUUGGUAUUGGGGCUCGCGGUUCCGCGGCCCCUAAAAUCAGUGGCGGUGCCUGUCGGCUCUACGCGUAGUAAUACUCCUCGCGAUUGAGUCCGGUAGGUCUACUUGCCAGCAACCCCCAAUUUUUACAGGUUGACCUCGGAUCAGGUAGGGAUACCCGCUGAACUUAAGCAUAUCAAUAAGCGGAGGA
rnacentral:misc_RNA from 1 species